GCCUCGGUAGUGUAAAGGAUAUGAGCACGGUCCCCAGAAAGGACAAGUACGGGUUCGAGUCCCGUCCGAGACU
rnacentral:tRNA from 1 species